rnacentral:tRNA from 1 species
GGGUCGUUAGCUCAGCUGGCAGAGCAGCUGACUCUUAAUCAGCGGGCCCAGGGUUCGAGUCCCUGACGACCCACCA